AGCUCUAGAAGCGUAUAUUAAUUUUGUUGCAGUUAAAAAGCUCGUAGUUGGAUUUCUGGUGGGAGAGAUCGGUCCGCUUUAUAGUGGUACUUGUGUCUUCUCCGGCCAUCCUUGGGUGGAGGUUGUCUGGCAUUAAGUUGUCGGGCAGCGGAUGCCCAUCGUUUACUGUGAAAAAAUUAGAGUGUUCAAAGCAGGCUUAUGCCGUUGAAUAUAUUAGCAUGGAAUAAUAAGAUAGGACUUUGGUACUAUUUUGUUGGUUUGCGCACCAAAGUAAUGAUUAAUAGGGACAGUUGGGGGUAUUCGUAUUCCGUUGUCAGAGGUGAAAUUCUUGGAUUUCCGGAAGACGAACUACUGCGAAAGCAUUUACCAAGGAUGUUUUCAUUA
rnacentral:rRNA from 1 species